rnacentral:misc_RNA from 1 species
UAGAGUUACCAAACUCCAAACCCAUGUGAACUUACCAGUUUGUUGCCUCGGCAGGCCUCCGUAUAUCGUCUCUGGGCGGUGACGGAUCUCACAGGUCUGCCGGUGGUCCAUUAAACUCUUGAAUUACCCCGUAAAUCUGAGCGUUUUAAACAAAUAAGUUA